rnacentral:misc_RNA from 1 species
CAAGCUGCGAUAAGUAAUGUGAAUUGCAGAACUCAGUGAAUCAUCGAGUCUUUGAACGCACAUGGCGCCCCCUGGCACUCCGGGGGGCACGCCUGUCCGAGCGUCGUCCGACCACCCUUCAGGCCCCUGUCACCUGGCUUCCAGGUGCGCGACGGGGUCUGGCCUUGGGCCUACAUGCGCCCCCGCGUAGGGCGAGCCCGCAAGUCACCGACCGGUCGUCCCCGAGGGCCUCGAGCGCAGCGGCUGUCCCAUGCUCGAGGAGGUCCCCGCGGGACGCCCACCGGCGUACCCCCCGUCCCAGACGCACGUUUGACCUCGGAUCAGGCGGGGUUACCCGCUGAACUUAAGC